rnacentral:rRNA from 1 species
ACGGAAGGCAGCAGUGAGGAAUAUUGGUCAAUGGGCGAGAGCCUGAACCAGCCAAGUAGCGUGAAGGAUGACUGCCCUACGGGUUGUAAACUUCUUUUAUACGGGAAUAAAAAAGGCCACGCGUGGCCUCUUGCACGUACCGUAUGAAUAAGCAUCGGCUAAUUCCGUGCCAGCAGCCGCGGUAAUACGGAAGAUGCGAGCGUUAUCCGGAUUUAUUGGGUUUAAAGGGAGCGUAGGCGGGUCUUUAAGUCAGUGGUCAAAGCGUGUGGCUCAACCAUACCACGCCAUUGAUACUGGAGACCUUGAGUGCACAUAAGGAUGGUGGAAUUCGUCGUGUAGCGGUGAAAUGCUUAGAUAUGACGAAGAACUCCGAUUGCGAAGGCAGCUGUCCGGGGUGUAACUGACGCUAAUGCUCGAAAGUGCGGGUAUCAAACAGGAUUAGAUACCCUGGUA